rnacentral:hammerhead_ribozyme from 1 species
AUCCAGCUGACGAAACCCGGAUAGGACGAAACGCGCGUCCUGGUU